GAAUCACCUGCAGAGCCAGCAAUGGGCGUGGAGACAGAAAAUCCCUACAAGAAGUAUUGCAGUACUUACUGCACUUCUCUGCAUCAUCAUGGCCGUCACACUCUGAUUUGUGACUGGAUUCUUUAGACGUAGAGGACCGUCAUUAGUGCACGCAGAGCAGCGCUGUCCUUCGGUCAGCAAAUGCGAGGUGCCGUGCCUCGUGGACGGACUGGUGACGCUUCUCGCUUCCCACUACGCCUCAGACAACGAAUAACCGAAUGCAGUCUGCGCAGCUGUGGUAUCUGAAGAGGUACUCUGCGAGCCAAAAUUCUUCAUUCGCGGGAGUGCAUACAAUAGUGACCACGAGGAGAGGUGUCGACUGGGGAAUGUCUGCUGUUUGGCCCGACCGCGGAACCCACAGAAGCAAAUUGGCACGCAGCCUGGGUACCCCACGGCGAAGAUUCUGCUGAGUUCCUGGCACGCGUCCUCCAAACCUACGCUCAUUCUUUCCGGAUUGUCUCUGCCCCUCCAGUGCAGACUCGUGAAGAUGGCCCUGCUUUCCCGCUUUGGUCAUUUCUUUGCCAAAGUAUUGGUAUGUGGCUGCCUGCCA